UAGGGAAUCUUCGGCAAUGGGGGGCAACCCCUGACCGAGCAACGCCGCGUGAGUGAAGAAGGUUUUCGGAUCGUAAAGCUCUGUUGUAAGAGAAGAACGUGUGUGAGAGUGGAAAGUUCACACAGUGACGGUAACUUACCAGAAAGGGACGGCUAACUACGUGUCAG
rnacentral:rRNA from 1 species